AAUAAAACGUAAAAAAAGAGGGACUUCUAGCAAUCAGCAGUUCAGCGAGCUAACGUUGGUGUGAGGUUAGUCUGCUAGUUAGAAGGACAAUCACUUUUGAGUGCAGCGUUGAAGUAUUUAGUAGACGCUGUCGGUUUCCACCGUUAUGGGAAAAUGAGGAGGACGUUUUUAACGUCCUUGAAUUUGGGUGGUACCACGAUUUGACUUCGUCCCUAGU
rnacentral:ncRNA from 1 species